rnacentral:tRNA from 1 species
GGGCCCGUAGCUCAGCCUGGUAGAGCGGCGGGCUCUUAACCCGUAGACCAGCGGGCCUUCAGGCCUGGCUGGGCGGAAGUCCCGGGUUCGAAUCCCGGCGGGCCCG